rnacentral:rRNA from 1 species
AUUGAACGCUGGCGGCAUGCUUUACACAUGCAAGUCGAACGGUAACAGGCCGCAAGGUGCUGACGAGUGGCGAACGGGUGAGUAAUGCAUCGGAACGUGCCCAGUCGUGGGGGAUAACGCAGCGAAAGCUGCGCUAAUACCGCAUACGAACUAAGGAUGAAUGCGGGGGACCGUAAGGCCCAGCGCGAUUGGAGCGGCCGAUGUCAGAUUAGGUAGUUGGUGAGGUAAAGGCUCACCAAGCCAACGAUCUGUAGCUGGUCUGAGAGGACGACCAGCCACACUGGGACUGAGACACGGCCCAGACUCCUACGGGAGGCAGCAGUGGGGAAUUUUGGACAAUGGGCGCAAGCCUGAUCCAGCAAUGCCGCGUGCAGGAAGAAGGCCUUCGGGUUGUAAACUGCUUUUGUACGGAACGAAACGGUCCGGGUUAAUACCCUGGGCUAAUGACGGUACCGUAAGAAUAAGCACCGGCUAACUACGUGCCAGCAGCCGCCGUAA